AUGACGACAGAGAUACUGUGAUUUUAGACAGAGAUUCACCAGCCAAUGAAAAUGUUCCAGAUUUAAAGAGGACUGAGAGUGUAUUUUUGCCAAAAGAAUUACUCAGCUACACCUCUGAUGCCUCAAUCAGCAGUGCUGAAAACAGUGAAACUGUAACAAUGAGAGACUCCUCAGCGGUCAGCAGCAGUGAUCACGAUGAGUUCGACAGCAGCGACAUGCACCACGUUUUGGAGAAAAGACUUCAGCGUACCUGCAGCACCCUCUGGCCGAUCUCGCUUGUUACAGUGGGCUUGUGUGGUCAUCUCAACCAUUUUACUAAUCUCACUCAUCAUCUCCAUGUCCCUAACCAAGUCGCGGGUGGACAGCAGGUUCUCUGAUCAUACACCCUAUAGCAGGGGUAUUCAACUAAAAUUUGAAGAGGUCCAGUUAGAGAAAAUUUCUUGAAGCAAAGGGUCGGUGUUUGUUUGCCAGUGGGAGUCCGUUUGCUGCUGUAACUCUGGAUGAUGGCAGGAUGGUGAUUCUGGGACAGGGGAACAAUGCUUACAUAUUCCCAGGUGUGGCUCUGGCAGUAAUUCUGAGUGGUGUUAGACACAUCAGUGAUACGGUGUUCCUCGAGGCUGCUAAGAUCUUAGCAGAGCAGUUGACGGAUGAGGAACUGAAUCAGAAUCAGGGUCAUCUCUAUCCUCCUCUUUCCAACAUUAGGGAGGUUUCUUUACAGAUGGCUGUGAGGAUAAGAUUUGUGUUUAUACAUACACACAAUGUGGUGGAGUUUCUGUACAGUAAAGGAAUGGCAUUUCGGUACCCAGAGCCACUGGAUAAGGAGGCGUAUGUGAGAUCCAUUGUGUGGAACACGGAGUACGAUUCCUUCCUCCCAGACAUCUACGAACGGGCUGGAGUGUCCCAUAGUCCUAUAGUGGAGUAAUCAUACACCCUAUAGCAUACACCUGAAACAGUCACACCCUUCAUUUACAGCUGUGUAAUGUUUAACUAUCACACAUCCCCAUGGGGAGUGAUUCCUAAACUCCUUCUGCUAAUGUAAAUGUACAGUGUUGCUAUUAAUAAAACACUCCACGUGUG